GCCAGCGUGGCCUAGUGGUUUGAGCGUUGGACUGCAACUCUGGAGACUAGGGUUCGAUUCCUGCUCAGCCA